rnacentral:rRNA from 1 species
GUCGAACGCCUGUCGGGUUUCGGCCCGGCAGGAGUGGCGCACGGGUGAGUAGCGCGUGGGAACCUGCCCUGUUGUGGGGGAUAACCGAGGGAAACUUCGGCUAAUACCGCAUGCGCCCCCGGACUUGGUCUUUGGAUUGAGGCCGGGGGGAAAGAUUUAUCGCAGCAGGAGGGGCCCGCGUCGGAUUAGCUGGUUGGUGGGGUAACGGCCUACCAAGGCGAUGAUCCGUAGCUGGUCUGAGAGGAUGAUCAGCCACACUGGGACUGAGACACGGCCCAGACUCCUACGGGAGGCAGCAGUGGGGAAUAUUGGACAAUGGGCGCAAGCCUGAUCCAGCAAUGCCGCGUGAGUGAUGAAGGCCUUAGGGUUGUAAAGCUCUUUCGCCCGCGACGAUGAUGACGGUAGCGGGAGAAGAAGCCCCGGCUAACUUCGUGCCAGCAGCCGCCGUAAUAC